UGGCUCAAUUGGUAGAGCAUGGUGUUUGCAACGCCAGGGUUGUGGGUUCGAUUCCCAU
rfam:Salmo salar isolate Sally breed double haploid chromosome ssa03, whole genome shotgun sequence.